UCCCAACUGCUCAACAACAGCCUACGCGGUCUUAGCCCGAGGCUGCUGGCCUCACUGCCACACCCUGCCGGGUCUGGACCUUAUCCUAUUAGCAAGACACGGUUAAAACCGGCGCUUAUCUCCUAGAGCUACGAAGAGUGAGACCUGGCACGCUGUGAACUUAGCACCAUGCGGGAUUCAAGGUUAAAAGUUGUAUUCCCUGGCAAGGGAAGGAGCAUCCUGAGCUACAACUCCGCACGAACCCAGAACCCGUCACCCUUUCCAUCGUCAAGACUCCAGGCCCUACGUCCUGAAGUGAGGAGACCCAAGAACUACCACUCCCAUCAGCCUCCGGGACAAAGAGCGCUUUGGGGAUGCCACAGAGAUGUCCACGAUUUUGACAUCAUGAGGAAAACCUCAGGUUUGGAAAUUGGCUCCGAGGACCACUAGCAUAAUACUUGAGAAAAUUCAGCACCUGACCUUGGCUGGGCGUUGGGGCAAGUGGAGAGGACACCAAGAUACACUCAAGAUGGAGCAGAAGAGCCAAAACAGGACUGAAGACAGGAGGCCACCACUGACAAGGCAGGGCUGGAAAGGCCCGGGAGCUGUUUCCUUUACUCAUCUCUGUAUUUGCUGCACCCUUGGCACAGGGGGAAAAAGAAUGCCUUAGUUGGUUGGUUCAAUUUGUGCCCCUGAAGAGAUCUGAAAUGAGUUUGCGGCUUUUCAGUGUAGUUAGCGGAGCUGGCUACUUUUGAUCAUGGGGAGAGGAAGCAGUCCCAGUUUGUUUUACAUCCAAUUAUGUCUCUUCAUCUUCUUCAACCAGCUCCCAUCACCACCUCUGCCUGGAUCACUCCAACAACUACCUCACUGGUCCCCUCCUGUCACCUGCCCAUUGCCAUCAAUUCACCACCCACUAAUCAAUCUAUAUGAAACCUUUUAAUGGCUUCUCUUUGCCCUUAGAAGAAAGGCCAAAAUUUUGUAACAGCCUACAAGACCCUUUUGGCUGGUCACCAUCUUCUGCCUCAUCCAUCAUGACCACUCCCUGGCUGUACUCUGCCCCACAGGCCUUCUUUCAGUUCUGAAACUCCAAGUGGCUGCAUGCCCUGCACAUGAAGAGCCUGCUAUCAAAAACGUCUGUCUCCUUCCUUCCUUAUAUGGCUCACUUAUUAAUCAACACUGAGCCCCUCCUAUGUGCCACACACGGUUUAAUUAUAUAGAGCAGUACCGAUAAAA